AGUGAACGCUGGCGGUAGGCCUAACACAUGCAAGUCGAACGGCAGCACAGUAAGAGCUUGCUCUUACGGGUGGCGAGUGGCGGACGGGUGAGGAAUACAUCGGAAUCUACUUUUUCGUGGGGGAUAACGUAGGGAAACUUACGCUAAUACCGCAUACGACCUACGGGUGAAAGCAGGGGAUCUUCGGACCUUGCGCGAUUGAAUGAGCCGAUGUUGGAUUAGCUAGUUGGCGGGGUAAAGGCCCACCAAGGCGACGAUCCGUAGCUGGUCUGAGAGGAUGAUCAGCCACACUGGAACUGAGACACGGUCCAGACUCCUACGGGAGGCAGCAGUAGGGAAUAUUGGACAAUGGGCGCAAGCCUGAUGCAGCCAUACCGCGUGGGUGAAGAAGGCCUUCGGGUUGUAAAGCCCUGUUGUUGGGAAAGAAAAGCAGCAGGUUAAAACCCCGCUGUUCUGACGGUACCCAAGGAAUAAGCAACGGCUAACUUCGUG
rnacentral:rRNA from 1 species